AUUGAACGCUGGCGGCAUGCCUUACACAUGCAAGUCGAACGGUAACAGGUCUUCGGAUGCUGACGAGUGGCGAACGGGUGAGUAAUACAUCAGAACGUGCCUAGUAGUGGGGGAUAACUACUCGAAAGAGUGGCUAAUACCGCAUGAGAUCUACGGAUGAAAGCAGGGGAUCGCAAGACCUUGUGCUACUAGAGCGGCCGAUGGCAGAUUAGGUAGUUGGUGGGAUAAAAGCUUACCAAGCCGACGAUCUGUAGCUGGUCUGAGAGGACGAUCAGCCCCACUGGGACUGAGACACGGCCCAGACUCCUACGGGAGGCAGCAGUGGGGAAUUUUGGACAAUGGGCGCAAGCCUGAUCCAGCAAUGCCGCGUGCAGGAUGAAGGCCUUCGGGUUGUAAACUGCUUUUGUACGGAACGAAAAGCCCUGGGUUAAUACCCUGGGGUCAUGACGGUACCGUAAGAAUAAGCACCGGCUAACUACGUGCCAGCAGCCGCCGUAACAC
rnacentral:rRNA from 1 species